CCUACGGGAGGCUGCAGUGAGGAAUAUUGGUCAAUGGACGCAAGUCUGAACCAGCCAUGCCGCGUGCAGGAAGACGACUCUAUGAGUUGUAAACUGCUUUUGUACGGGGGUAAACUCAGAUACGCGUAUCUGUCUGAAAGUAUCUUACGAAUAAGGAUCGGCUAACUCCGUGCCAGCAGCCGCGGUAAUACGGAGGAUUCAAGCGUUAUCCGGAUUUAUUGGGUUUAAAGGGUGCGUAGGCGGUCGGAUAAGUUAGAUGUGAAAUCCCGAGGCUCAACUUCGGAAUUGCCUUUGAUACUGUCAGGCUAGAGAGUAGUUGCGGUAGGCGGAAUGUAUGGUGUAGCGGUGAAAUGCUUAGAGAUCAUACAGAACACCGAUUGCGAAGGCAGCUUACCAAGCUACUUCUGACGUUGAGGCACGAAAGCGUGGGGAGCAAACAGGAUUAGAUACCCCGGUAGUC
rnacentral:rRNA from 1 species